rnacentral:rRNA from 1 species
AGUGAACGCUGGCGGUAGGCCUAACACAUGCAAGUCGAACGGCAGCACAGUAAGAGCUUGCUCUUACGGGUGGCGAGUGGCGGACGGGUGAGGAAUACAUCGGAAUCUACUUUUUCGUGGGGGAUAACGUAGGGAAACUUACGCUAAUACCGCAUACGACCUACGGGUGAAAGCAGGGGAUCUUCGGACCUUGCGCGAUUGAAUGAGCCGAUGUCGGAUUAGCUAGUUGGCGGGGUAAAGGCCCACCAAGGCGACGAUCCGUAGCUGGUCUGAGAGGAUGAUCAGCCACACUGGAACGGAGACACGGUCCAGACUCCUACGGGAGGCAGCAGUGGGGAAUAUGGGACAAUGGGCGCAAGCCUGAUCCAGCCAUACCGCGUGGGUGAAGAAGGCCUUCGGGUUGUAAAGCCCUUUUGUUGGGAAAGAAAAGCAGCAGGUUAAUACCCCGCUGUUCUGACGGUACCCAAAGAAUAAGCACCGGCUAACUUCGUG